AUACGGAGGAUGCGAGCGUUAUCAGGAUUUAUUGGGUUUAAAGGGAGCGUAGGCGGGAGCUUAAGUCAGCGGUUAAAUGGUGCGGCUCAACCGUGCCCUGCCGUUGAAAAUGGGGUUCUUGAGAGUGCAAGAGGCGGAUGGGAUUCCUGGUGGAGCGGUGAAAUGCUUAGAUAUCAUGAAGAACUCCGAUUGCGAAGGCAGUCCGCUGGGGCACGUCUGACGCUGAUGCUCGAAGGUGCGGGAAUCAAACAGGAUUAGAUACCCUGGUAGUCCGCACGGUAAACGAUGAUUACCCGCUGUCGGCGGCAGACAGUCGGCGGCCAAGCGAAAGCGAUAAGUAAUCCACCUGGGGAGUACGCCGGCAACGGUGAAACUCAAAGGAAUUGACGGGG
rnacentral:rRNA from 1 species